UCGCACGCAGCCCACAGCCGGGCUCGCUCGACCGCACGCCGCCGGCAGCGACCAAGGAGACGCUGUGCAUCGGUGGUUGCACCCCCCCCCCCCCCCCCCCCCCCCCCCCCCCGCGCGGCGAGGUGCGAGCCCUCUCCAGCCACGGCUUCUGAUUCCGCCACUCGCGCCAUCCCUGAGCCACCGACGGCGCCGCGCGUCGAAUCCUUGGAGCCGUCCGCGCGCCCUUGCUCGAUCCGCUCCGCUGCCUGCCAUCAUCUGUGAUUAACAUGAAGUUUUGCACUUCUUACCUUGACAUUCUUCUUGCACAAUGCUGCAGCGAUAGCAUGAGCAACCUUUGAAAUAUUUCCUGCAAGAACAACUUGAUCUGUGCCUUGGGGAAUACUGUUCACAACCACCGCAGCAGCUAAGCUGGUACCAUCUACAAGUCGUACCUCCAACUUAGGGUACUUCUGCAGAUAAAGUUCUCCAUUUCCAUUGAGGUUAUGUGCCUGUGGACAAAGAUAUCAUUGUUAAUCAUGAUUUCUAUUUGCAGCCUGUUGCUAGUAUAAGUGAAUGACUAGUUACUAGCUUUGCAUUUGGAUAAUCUAGUCAAUGGUAAUUACAAAUGAAUACCAAUGUGACGAAGUGAACAAAUGAUUAAGAGAUCUCAUGAGUUUCACUUAGGCAAUGAAUGCAGUCGAGAGUUGAGAUACCUAUUAGAUCAUACUGUAUAAUGCGAUUGUUAGGUAUUCAUUACCAGAUAAGAAUUACAGGAACUACUGCCAAUUGCUACUUUCUGAAAUUUUUUCUUAUUGUUAGUUGUUAGCCUGUCUUAAUGUAUGCAACUAACCUUUUUGUUCAGUCAGAUCAGUAAUGAUUUUCUUUCUGACUUCUAAAAUGGCAAUACAUAGACAUGCAACUUCCACUCAAAUGACAUAUAUUUUCGAGUUGUAGACCUUGAAUAACUGAAUAGAUGGCAUACCUGGUUAAGGAGUCCGAGGCUAACAACUUUAGCGCCUUUCUUGUCAGCUUCACAUAUUGCCUUUUCGAUUAGGUUAUUGAUCGCUUCCUUCUCCCAAGACAAUCCAUACUGCAGAACAGUGAAAGUUACCGAUUUUGUUAGGUAUUUUUCUGAAACAAGAUGAUUUGGUUAGAAUCAUUGGACAGCAGGAAGAGAUAAUGAAUUGCACAUGAUUCUUACAUGGAAACUGUAUCUCGGAAUGGCCCAUGACUGCAUCCUGAGUUUCUUCAUGAGGUUCCUCUCAACAGCGAAUGAAGUGCCGUAUGUCCAUGUCAGAACCAUGGAAAGCCAUGAUACAGGCCACAUCAUCCGCAUGUACCACUUGGAAGUGUAAGGCUUAGAAGCGUAUUCUGCAAACCCGGGUCUCAUAUGAUAAAUGGACUGCAGGCUGGUAAGAUGGGUAAGAUGAACCACAUCCACUGUUUCAUCUUUGGCCUUCAGUGAUUUCUCAUACAGCGUAUCCGAUGACUUGUCCAUGGUGUUGUAUAUGUAAUCAUAGAAUGGCAUGAACAGGGAGUAGUUUGUCCUGAACUGUGUGUGGUGAAGAGAAUGGAAUCUAAAUUGCAGAAGUUCAUGUAUACACUCAGAACAACAUAUAGAAUCAUGGAAUUAAGUUAAAGGAAAAAAAAAUAUUUCAGUGGUGAAGGGCUACAGGUAUAUGAGAUACUUACGAGGGUGUGUACAUUAGAUACUUGAGAGGAGGGAACCACUUGAAGAGCCAACUUGGCACCAGUUCAAAGUUGCAGUGACCCAUGUUGUUCAUGAAGUCGAUGUAGAGCACAUAGAUCUCAAAUGCAACGAUUGAAGCAGUUCCAGUCAAGGCGCAUGUGAUCAAUGGGAUCGCGAACAGCACUUCAUAAGCCACGAGCUCAGCAAAUGGAUGGAUGACGGCUGCACAAACAGAACAGGAAUGUUAUCUUUAGAUGUUCUAGUUGCUCCGAACUCCAAAAAAAAAGGUACCAUUUGAUAUGCACAGAAAGGCAUCUGCCUACAAAUAAGGGAUAUGUGUUCUCUAUCGCCUUCGAAGCUCCUGUACCUCUCAGGCAGUGAAUGUUUACUGUCGCUGACGCCUGACGCCUAGGUGCAUGAUACUGGCCCAAUGAAUCUUAACAGUGCUCUGCUGCUAGACUGAAGGAAUCAAGACUUUUGACAAUGACAUAUAGAAAACGACGGUUUCACGAAAUCAUCUUCAAGGAACAGGGUGAAUGUGGAGGUCGGUUUGAAUCAAAAGGGGAAAAAAACUUGAAGCACCUACGGUUUGUAGUGGGAUUCUAUCUGUCCGGCCGGAUGACCGGAUGGAUGGUGAUAGGGAUCGGUGGCAAGUACGCUAACGUGGUGAUUGGUAGGUACUGCCGCGCGCGAUCAUGUUUCGAUUCUGUUUGGUGUUGGAAGCUGGCAUGCAGCAGCAUGGCUUUCGCAUGGUCCCGGAUUGGCUCGGAGUCAAGAGGACAGGGCACGUGACAUCGAUUGACAGUGCCGUUACCGGCCAGUAACAAGUACACUCCUUUGAAAAGACCUCUGAUCUGUGGGCAUCAAUCUUCUACUGAUAUUUCGUUUCGAAAAAAAAUCUUUUACUGAUACUUGGAAUUAAGGAAAGGCCUCUGAUCUGUUCCAGUAAUAAAGCAGAGCAGCAGUGAUCUGA